rnacentral:rRNA from 1 species
GCCUACAAUCCAGCCCACAACAAACCAAACCUCUUCCUCCUAUAAUUUUAUAAUAAAACAUUUUAACUCUGUAGUAAAGGCGAUUAAAAACUUCUCGGCGCUUCAGAUCCAGUACCGCAAGGGAAUGAUGAAAUAAAAAUGAAAUAAAUAUUAAGCCAAUAAUAGCAGAGCCGCACCUCGUACCUUUCGCAUCAUGGUCAAGCUAGUCUAAUUAAGCAAAACGAAAACUUUAGUUUAAUCCCCCGAAACUGAGUGAGCUACUUCAAAAUAGUUUUCUGAACCAACCCACCCCUGUUGCAAAAGGGAGGGAAAAUUUUUAAGUAGAAGUGAUAAACCUAUCGAACUCAGAGAUAGCUGGUUAUUCAAAAAAAGAAUCUUAGUUCUACCUUAAGCUUAUAUAUUAACUCAAACAAACCCUAAAACUUAAGAGCUACUCAAAUAAGGCACAGCUUAUUUGAAAAAGGAUACAACCUACAACAUAGGGUAAAACAACAUAAUACCACAAGUGGGCCUGAAAGCAGCCACCUUUAAAAAAGCGUUAAAGCUUAAAAUAUAUGCAAUACUAAUACCUCAACUUACCUUGAACCCUUAAUUAAUAUUGAAUAACCCCAUACACUUAUGGGAGAUAUUAUGCUUGAACUAGUAACAAGAAAUUGACUUUCUCCUAAAUGUAAACAUAAGCCACAUUGGACUGACCGCCGGCAAUUAACAUUAAUGAACUACUUACAGCAACUUCUUCCAGAAAAACCUGUAACUAUAUAACGUUAACCUUACACAAGAACAUUUCAGGAAAGA